CACGUAGGGUGCGAGCGUUGUCCGGAAUUAUUGGGCGUAAAGAGCUCGUAGGCGGUGUGUCGCGUCGGCCGUGAAAACCUGCAGCUUAACUGUGGGCUUGCGGUCGAUACGGGCAUCACUGGAGUUCGGCAGGGGAGACUGGAAUUCCUGGUGUAGCGGUGAAAUGCGCAGAUAUCAGGAGGAACACCGGUGGCGAAGGCGGGUCUCUGGGCCUGUUCUGACGC
rnacentral:rRNA from 1 species